rnacentral:rRNA from 1 species
AGCUCUGUAAGCGUAUACCCAAGUUGUUGCAGUUAAAACGCUCGUAGUCGAAAGUUGGCGGGCGGCCUGGGGCGUCUUCACGGACGAUUCAGGCUGGCCGCCUUUGUGGAGGGGGGCCCAGCGGGGCUUUAUUGCGUCGCUGUGGUCGCUGCCACCGUUUACUGUGAAAAAAUUAGAGUGUUCAAAGCAGGCGUUUGCCAUGAAUACCUUAGCAUGGAAUAAUAGAAUAGGACCUGGUUUCCUGUUUUAUUGGUUUGUGAGGACCGGGUAAUGAUUAAGAGGGACGGUUGGGGGCAUUUGUAUUCCGGCGUCAGAGGUGAAAUUCUUGGAUUGGCGGAAGACAAACAGCUGCGAAAGCGUCUGCCAAGGACGUUUUCA